rnacentral:tRNA from 1 species
GCCGGUGUGGCGAAAUGGCAGACGCACAGGACUUAAAAUCCUGGGACUGUAAAAGGUCGUGCGGGUUCAAGUCCCGCCACCGGCACCA